rnacentral:rRNA from 1 species
GAUGAACGCUAGCGGCAGGCUUAAUACAUGCAAGUCGAGGGACACCACAGGUAGCAAUACUGGGUGGUAACCGGCAAACGGGUGCGGAACACGUACACAACCUUCCUUUAAGUGGGGGAUAGCCCAGAGAAAUUUGGAUUAAUACCCCGUAAUAUAGUUGAAUGGCAUCAUUUGAUUAUUAUAGCUACGGCGCUUAAUGAUGGGUGUGCGGCUGAUUAGAUAGUUGGCGGGGUAACGGCCCACCAAGUCUACGAUCAGUAGCUGAUGUGAGAGCAUGACCAGCCACACGGGAACUGGGACACGGGCCCGACUCCUACGGGAGGCAGCAGUAAGGAAUAUUGGUCAAUGGACGCAAGUCUGAACCAGCCAUGCCGCGUGAAGGAUUAAGGUCCUCUGGAUUGUAAACUUCUUUUAUUUGGGACGAAAAAGGGCCUUUCUAGGUCAACUGACGGUACCAGAUGAAUAAGCACCGGCUAACUCCGUGCCAGCCGCCGCCGUAACAC